GACGAACGCUGGCGGCGUGCUUAACACAUGCAAGUCGAACGGAAAGGCCCUGCUAUUGUGGGGUGCUCGAGUGGCGAACGGGGGCGUAACACGUGAGUAACCUGCCCUUGACUUUGGGAUAACUUCAGGAAACUGGGGCUAAUACCGGAUAGGAGCUCCUGCUGCAUGGUGGGGGUUGGAAAGUUUCGGCGGUUGGGGAUGGACUCGCGGCUUAUCAGCUUGUUGGUGGGGUAGUGGCUUACCAAGGCUUUGACGGAUAGCCGGCCUGAGAGGGUGACCGGCCACAUUGGGACUGAGAGACGGCCCAGACUCCUACGGGAGGCAGCAGUGGGGAAUAUUGCACAAUGGGCGGAAGCCUGAUGCAGCAACGCCGCGUGCGGGAUGACGGCCUUCGGGUUGUAAACCGCUUUCGCCUGUGACGAAGCGUGAGUGACGGUAAUGGGUAAAGAAGCACCGGCUAACUACGUG
rnacentral:rRNA from 1 species